GGGUUGUGAGGUUAAGCGACUAAGCGUACACGGUGGAUGCCCUGGCAGUCAGAGGCGAUGAAGGACGUGCUAAUCUGCGAUAAGCGUCGGUAAGGUGAUAUGAACCGUUAUAACCGGCGAUUUCCGAAUGGGGAAACCCAGUGUGUUUCGACACACUAUCAUUAACUGAAUCCAUAGGUUAAUGAGGCGAACCGGGGGAACUGAAACAUCUAAGUACCCCGAGGAAAAGAAAUCAACCGAGAUUCCCCCAGUAGCGGCGAGCGAACGGGGAGCAGCCCAGAGCCUGAAUCAGUGUGUGUGUUAGUGGAAGCGUCUGGAAAGGCGCGCGAUACAGGGUGACAGCCCCGUACACAAAAAUGCACAUGCUGUGAGCUCGAUGAGUAGGGCGGGACACGUGGUAUCCUGUCUGAAUAUGGGGGGACCAUCCUCCAAGGCUAAAUACUCCUGACUGACCGAUAGUGAACCAGUACCGUGAGGGAAAGGCGAAAAGAACCCCGGCGAGGGGAGUGAAAAAGAACCUGAAACCGUGUACGUACAAGCAGUGGGAGCACGCUUAGGCGUGUGACUGCGUACCUUUUGUAUAAUGGGUCAGCGACUUAUAUUCUGUAGCAAGGUUAACCGAAUAGGGGAGCCGAAGGGAAACCGAGUCUUAACUGGGCGUUAAGUUGCAGGGUAUAGACCCGAAACCCGGUGAUCUAGCCAUGGGCAGGUUGAAGGUUGGGUAACACUAACUGGAGGACCGAACCGACUAAUGUUGAAAAAUUAGCGGAUGACUUGUGGCUGGGGGUGAAAGGCCAAUCAAACCGGGAGAUAGCUGGUUCUCCCCGAAAGCUAUUUAGGUAGCGCCUCGUGAAUUCAUCUCCGGGGUAGAGCACUGUUUCGGCAAGGGGGUCAUCCCGACUUACCAACCCGAUGCAAACUGCGAAUACCGGAGAAUGUUAUCACGGGAGACACACGGCGGGUGCUAACGUCCGUCGUGAAGAGGGAAACAACCCAGACCGCCAGCUAAGGUCCCAAAGUCAUGGUUAAGUGGGAAACGAUGUGGGAAGGCCCAGACAGCCAGGAUGUUGGCUUAGAAGCAGCCAUCAUUUAAAGAAAGCGUAAUAGCUCACUGGUCGAGUCGGCCUGCGCGGAAGAUGUAACGGGGCUAAACCAUGCACCGAAGCUGCGGCAGCGACGCUUAUGCGUUGUUGGGUAGGGGAGCGUUCUGUAAGCCUGCGAAGGUGUGCUGUGAGGCAUGCUGGAGGUAUCAGAAGUGCGAAUGCUGACAUAAGUAACGAUAAAGCGGGUGAAAAGCCCGCUCGCCGGAAGACCAAGGGUUCCUGUCCAACGUUAAUCGGGGCAGGGUGAGUCGACCCCUAAGGCGAGGCCGAAAGGCGUAGUCGAUGGGAAACAGGUUAAUAUUCCUGUACUUGGUGUUACUGCGAAGGGGGGACGGAGAAGGCUAUGUUGGCCGGGCGACGGUUGUCCCGGUUUAAGCGUGUAGGCUGGUUUUCCAGGCAAAUCCGGAAAAUCAAGGCUGAGGCGUGAUGACGAGGCACUACGGUGCUGAAGCAACAAAUGCCCUGCUUCCAGGAAAAGCCUCUAAGCAUCAGGUAACAUCAAAUCGUACCCCAAACCGACACAGGUGGUCAGGUAGAGAAUACCAAGGCGCUUGAGAGAACUCGGGUGAAGGAACUAGGCAAAAUGGUGCCGUAACUUCGGGAGAAGGCACGCUGAUAUGUAGGUGAAGUCCCUCGCGGAUGGAGCUGAAAUCAGUCGAAGAUACCAGCUGGCUGCAACUGUUUAUUAAAAACACAGCACUGUGCAAACACGAAAGUGGACGUAUACGGUGUGACGCCUGCCCGGUGCCGGAAGGUUAAUUGAUGGGGUUAGCGCAAGCGAAGCUCUUGAUCGAAGCCCCGGUAAACGGCGGCCGUAACUAUAACGGUCCUAAGGUAGCGAAAUUCCUUGUCGGGUAAGUUCCGACCUGCACGAAUGGCGUAAUGAUGGCCAGGCUGUCUCCACCCGAGACUCAGUGAAAUUGAACUCGCUGUGAAGAUGCAGUGUACCCGCGGCAAGACGGAAAGACCCCGUGAACCUUUACUAUAGCUUGACACUGAACAUUGAGCCUUGAUGUGUAGGAUAGGUGGGAGGCUUUGAAGUGUGGACGCCAGUCUGCAUGGAGCCGACCUUGAAAUACCACCCUUUAAUGUUUGAUGUUCUAACGUGGACCCGUAAUCCGGGUUGCGGACAGUGUCUGGUGGGUAGUUUGACUGGGGCGGUCUCCUCCUAAAGAGUAACGGAGGAGCACGAAGGUUGGCUAAUCCUGGUCGGACAUCAGGAGGUUAGUGCAAUGGCAUAAGCCAGCUUGACUGCGAGCGUGACGGCGCGAGCAGGUGCGAAAGCAGGUCAUAGUGAUCCGGUGGUUCUGAAUGGAAGGGCCAUCGCUCAACGGAUAAAAGGUACUCCGGGGAUAACAGGCUGAUACCGCCCAAGAGUUCAUAUCGACGGCGGUGUUUGGCACCUCGAUGUCGGCUCAUCACAUCCUGGGGCUGAAGUAGGUCCCAAGGGUAUGGCUGUUCGCCAUUUAAAGUGGUACGCGAGCUGGGUUUAGAACGUCGUGAGACAGUUCGGUCCCUAUCUGCCGUGGGCGCUGGAGAACUGAGGGGGGCUGCUCCUAGUACGAGAGGACCGGAGUGGACGCAUCACUGGUGUUCGGGUUGUCAUGCCAAUGGCACUGCCCGGUAGCUAAAUGCGGAAGAGAUAAGUGCUGAAAGCAUCUAAGCACGAAACUUGCCCCGAGAUGAGUUCUCCCUGACUCCUUGAGAGUCCUGAAGGAACGUUGAAGACGACGACGUUGAUAGGCCGGGUGUGUAAGCGCAGCGAUGCGUUGAGCUAACCGGUACUAAUGAACCGUGAGGCUUAACCUUACAACGCCGAAGCUGUU
rnacentral:rRNA from 1 species